UUCUUCCCAUUUUCUGUGACUGAAGGGCACCAUGGCACUCUGAGUGGGGCCACACCACAGGCUGUUGGUCUGAGCUCUGAGCUGAGAGUCAAUGCAUUGUGAUGGAACAGAAAAUGAAACUCUCCAGCACAGACCUAAGCAGAGACCUGGCAAGCCUCACUUUCCCUCUCUGUCCUGCUCCCCAGCUGCUGGAGCCCAAGUCCAACAACUAUAAGACCCAGUGAGAGUCCAUCAGAGCAGCACCCCCUUCCGGCUGGGGCAUGAGAUGAGAACUCACAGGCCCACAGUGGCCUGAGGGAGGCACAGGACAGCCAGCAAGUGAAGACCUUGGAGAGCGCUGCUGCUUGUUGACAGUGUGCCUGGGCCACAGCAUGACUUAAGAAAGAGACACAUUUGUCAAAUGCUCUGCUCUGGCCUAGACCAGGCAUGGUUUGUUAAUAAGGGUGGGCUGUCAGGGAAGUCCCUUGAAUGGGGUUUAAAUUUUGCAAAAGAAGGUUGAGCCGUUCAUUCGUGGAGGUUAAAGUGGGUGAAGUGGCUGAUUACCCGUUUGAGACCUUGCAAGUCGGUGAGACCCCUACCUCAGAAGCACUCAGCUUCCAUUCAAGUAAAAUGAGGCUCGGAGAAGGCUGAAGGGGCCUUGAUAACUGUUUACAAGCCCAUUAAGGAAGAUGAGAAGGAGGGCGGAGGGGACAGCUGUCCUUCCUUCUCCAGCAGUGACAGCACCAGAGGGAAUUGUGCUGAACACUCGAAAGGAGAGAUUGAAGUCAGGCUCUGGGAGGGACUUCCUGAAGACUAGCAUGAAGAGCUCAGCAUUUUUCCUAGUGACCAGCCGGAAGAGCUGCUUGUCUUCCAGGCCCCAAGCUGAGCCCAGAGGAUCCAGAAAAAAGUAAGAGUGGCCCCAGGAGGCUUGGAGGAGAGAGAAUCCUCCUCCCCUUUUUCUUGCACAUAUUUGGCUAACUGUCAGAAAGGAAAUCCAGAAGUCUGAAGUCCAGGGCGGAGACCAUUGGUUUCUAACGUUUACCAGGUUUGACCAAAAAAAAAAAAAGUUACCUGAAUGAAAUGAAGGCAGCAAUCGGUGUUUGCUUCCAUUUCUCUCUCAAGGCCUUCAACGCACACGAAUCAACUGUAGCCUGUGUUUACUUUUCCCAUCCUGAUUCAUUUUAAAUUUCGGUGGAGAUCUUCAGGGAGCAGAGUACUAGGGAUUCAUUAUUGUUGAGGGGCUGAACACUGGCUGAGGUGGGAGAUGUUUCGUGCCCUGUAGAAAGCGGAGUCCGCGCCUCAGCAGGCCUGCGUCGAAAACACAUGGGAUUCACAAACAAGAGAUGGCGUUUCUGCUCCUCAGAGUCCUCUUUCAUGUCGGUGGCUCGAUUGUUUGCCUUUUUAUUUAAUGUGUGUAUCGAUGGCUGAGAAAAUUAAAUGACAAAAUGAGUGAACAUUGAAAGUGAUCACUAUUGCAACAUGGUGUUUCUCACUCAAAACUUAGUGUGUUGAGGGGGUUGGUGGCUGCCUUCCAUUCACCCAGUGACACUUAAGGAGCAGCUGCAUGUGCCCGUUGUGGUUACCUUAGCCAACGUGACAGCCCCAGAUCCCUGCCCUUGCAGAGCUUACAUUCUGUCUGCCACAGCUGAGUGUAGGUUACUAAAGAGCUAGCCCAACAGAUUCUAUUUCCAGUUCCAUUUCUUUCUUGGUUCCUUGAGUUUCUCUCUGAAAGAGAGAAAUUAACCCCAGCCUGGAAUCAAACAACAAAAACAGAACUUAGUGGAGAGCCCUUGUCUGAAAGUUGUUGAGAUGCCCAAGUGGGGAUCAUCCCUGGGUGAUAGAGCCAGAGUACUGCUCCUCCACCUCUAGAUGGCAGUCCAGAGCCAGGUGUGACUUCUGUGUGGAAGGUGAGGUCAGUGAGAUAUUUAAUCUAAAAACUAGGGAAAAGAUCAAAUAUCAGGAGACUCAGAUCACUGAGCCCCUCCUGUGUUUCACCUGCAUCAGGAGUAAGAUGGGACUCCUGUUCCAAGGGAGUAAUCCAACUGAUUACUAGAUAACCAGCUCAUGGAAGAGGCAAUCAAGAGCCACCACAGAGGUGCAUGACUGUAGUCCCAGCUACUCAGGAGGCUGAGGCAGGAGGAUUGCUUGGGUCAGGAGUUCAAGACCUAGAAAAUACAGUUAAGACCCUAUAUCAAAACAAAAACCAAUGAACAAACCAAAAAAUCAAACCAAAACAAACCAAAACACCCCAAACAAACAAACCAACGAAACCCCCAUCAACUUUUACCACAUAGACACUUUUUGAGAUCUAAAUGAGAACUGGAAGAAGUAGUGGAACAGUCUUAAUAUAAUGAAGACCUGGAAACUGAAGCGGUCUUAAAAGUGGAGAUGAAAUCAAAGUGGCAUUAUGAACCUGGGCUAAAGCAUUCGGAAUCCUAUCUUCAGUUCAUUUUCAGCCAGUAUUUAACCUGGACUGGCCUCCAGGGGAGGAAUGAGAGACUGAAUAUCCAACUCGACAAUGGCUGGGUCACCUAUAAAAACAGAACUCCAACUCACAGCCGCAGCAACCUGCCCAGGACACUACCUGGCUUAUCUAUAACCAACAACCCAGAAAUCCAGCCAGCUGUGAUUCAGACUUGCAAGAAACCAGAACUCUAGCUCUAAUAACAAUCCAGGAAGCCCAACAACAACCCCUGUAACAAAGGAGCCCAAACAACCAGGACUUGAUGAAUAAUUGAAAGCUUCCCUAUGUUUUGUUCCUAUUUCUAACUUAGAACCAACCAGAGAAAACCAAAGGUACGCCAAUCACCUAGACUGCCGCCUCUAGUUAGUCCACCUAUAGCUUUCCCAGGUCAACAGCUUGGAGUCAACGUGUACCUGGAACCUUCUCAUUUUUUCUACUGUAAAGUUUUACCUCUCUCUGCCUGCCUUUGGGACCCCACUAAAAGACCAUGCAAGCUGACUCCCUCGCUCUAGCAACUUGGAAUAAACAGCCUUUGCUUUUC